UUCCCCAAUGGGCAGAUGAAAAAGAAGGUCAUCGCCUAAUCCAUAUCGUACCAUGUUUGAAAAUUUUGGAAGUUUGGGAGGAUUUCAGACAAUAACGAUGGCCACAUUGGCAGCAUUUGAUAUGUCGAGCUAUAUGAUCAGAAAUUCGCAGUGAAAAGGAUAGCCAGAUAGACCCUACUACAGUAUUUUUUGCUUACCUGCACAAUCAAAAAUUGCACGACAUCUUGUGCAGCAAUGCCCAAAAUGCAGGUAGCUUAAUUGCAUUUAUCUGCACAAUGAAGCAGGUAUCUUUAAUUUUACUUACGUGCACAAAAAGUGCAGGUAUCUUUAAUUUUCUAUUCGUGCACAACAAAGCAGCAAUCGUUAUUUUACUUACGUACGUGUAAUAGCCAGCCAAAAUCAAUGAGAGGAAGCGAGAAUAUGUUUUUAAUGCAUGCUCUUUUCUUGUGUUGUUAUUGUUUUUGCGAAUACAAAAAUAAAAACGAAGUGGUAGUUAUUAGUGUCUUUUUGAGUUUGCAAAAAAUUUUCUUGUGCAGAUAAAUACAACUUUUGUAACCAAAUUAAAAAAAAUUACCAAAUUUUCGAGGCAGGAAUUUCUAAUGUGCAGCUAUCGAUUGGGCACUUAAAUACAAUUCAAAUAAAGGGAUUCAGAAAAAAAUGGCAUAAAAAAAGUUUUUUGGUCUGCAAAGGCCAAUGCGCAGCUAAUGUUGAUGCAGGUAAAUAGAAACCACUGUACACACUCAUCACUAUGUGAAGCUUUUCGCUGUUGGCAUAUUCUGUCAUAUUUGGUUUGAUUGAUGGCUUACAAGCGCCGUUCUAUGAAAAGUUGGAAUUUAUGGCCUCCACCGCAUUAAAACAAGUCCCCGAGUCAAUUAGCCAGCAUUGAAGCCCAUGUUUUUUUGUGGCUGCAGCAAAGAUUUUCUUCGUUCUCUGAAUGUUAACCUCUAAUACACACAAAAGUAGCUGAUACUUU